GACGAACGCUGGCGGCGUGCUUAACACAUGCAAGUCGAACGGAAAGGCCCUGCUUUUGUGGGGUGCUCGAGUGGCGAACGGGUGAGUAACACGUGAGUAACCUGCCCUUGACUUUGGGAUAACUUCAGGAAACUGGGGCUAAUACCGGAUAGGAGCUCCUGCUGCAUGGUGGGGGUUGGAAGGUUUCGGCGGUUGGGGAUGGACUCGCGGCUUAUCAGCUUGUUGGUGGGGUAGUGGCUUACCAAGGCUUUGACGGGUAGCCGGCCUGAGGGGGUGACCGGCCACAUUGGGACUGAGAUACGGCCCAGACUCCUACGGGAGGCAGCAGCGGGGAAUAUUGCACAAUGGGCGGAAGCCUGAUGCAGCAACGCCGCGUGCGGGAUGACGGCCUUCGGGUUGUAAACCGCUUUCGCCUGUGACGAAGCGUGAGUGACGGUAAUGGGUAAAGAAGCACCGGCUAACUACGUG
rnacentral:rRNA from 1 species